rnacentral:rRNA from 1 species
UACGUAGGGGGCGAGCGUUGUCCGGAUUUAUUGGGCGUAAAGAGCUCGUAGGCGGUUUGGUAAGUUGGAUGUGAAAUCUCCAGGCUCAACUUGGAGGGGUCACUCGAUACUGCCAUGACUAGAGUUCGGUAGGGGAGUGUGGAAUUCCUGGUGUAGCGGUGAAAUGCGCAGAUAUCAGGAGGAACACCGGUGGCGAAGGCGGGUCUCUGGGCCGAUACUGACACUGAGGCGCGAAAGCGUGGGGAGCAAACAGG